rnacentral:misc_RNA from 1 species
UUAUUUAUACUAUUCGGUGGCAUACUGUUUAUACUAGUGUUUAGAGGUUGAGAGAAUGAUUCAUGAAAUGUUACCUUUUCUAGUUUUUAAAGGUUGAUGGAGUGUUUUGACUAGGGUUAAAAAAAUGAUACUACUGUUUCUACAUUUAAUAGCUAAUCUAAUAACUAUUUUUAUCGAAUACUUCUCUUUUAAAUCACUAUAUAAACAACUAACCACUAACAGCUAAUAGCUAGUAAAAUAGUUGAUAACUACUAGAACAAUUAAUGGCUACUAAAAUAGCUAAUAUUGCUAAACAAACCCUUAAUUAAAAACAUCACAUAAGUUAAAUCAAAUCAUGGAUUCAUUUGAUCCCAACACACCUAACCUAAUCUCAAUUACUUUGAAACCCUAAACCCAACAUCAAUUUUAAAACCAUUGGAACGUGAGAUGCAAAUCCCUAAACCCAUAACCACCUUCUCUAAAGCCAUUCCAUCAUCUUCUUCAGCUAAUUGGACGCUUUUUGCUCAUCAAAACUUUGAAUGCUGGUGAAAUUGAAUGGGACAUGUGUUGGUACUGUUUAGAAUGUAAUGUGAUGUGUUUUAACUGUUAUUGAAGUGUGUACAAUUGAGACUUUCAAAUUCUGUAGGAACAACUACUGUUCAUAUGACAAUUUCUCUUGGUGUCAUUACACAAGAAGUUACACGGUGGUGUUUAUCGUAUUGUAAUGACCACUGUUCCAUUUUUGUGCUUCAUUGUUCUUUACACUGCUUAUGUGCUUGCUGGUGUAUGUUUUCUGGAUACAUUGUCUUUACGCAAGCCGUGUUAAUGUUACACAAGCUGCGUAAUUCCAUGCUUAAAAUUUUGUCAAGCUGUUUUAGGUGUUAUGGUGAAAAAUGCCAUUGCAUGACUUGUGUAAGUGUUGCUUUUAAUUUACAUUAGUCGUAAAUUGCAUCUGCUUUUGUGUUGUAAUAUGUUUUUGUACAAUCAUGUAAAUAUCUGUUUUAGUUUACACCAUUGUGUAAUGACAUUACUUGAAGAAUUUUGAAUUUCCCUUAUAUCCAACACGUGUUUGCUUUCAGUUUUCAUUUUCACUUUCCAUUAACCCUCGCACGACUUCCCUUUCCAACCUCUCACCAUCAAAGAAUCAAGUUUUUCCCUUUCUUGCCAUUUGCCCUCUCACCAUCAAAUUCAUAGCAAAAAUUUCUCCUAUAUUUCCACUACAUUUUGUUUUCUGCCUCCAAUUUUACCUGCAUUCAUCAAAACCCUAGCCAUGGUGAGGGCAAAAAUGCCCAGAAAUCACACUAGACCAAACAAAUUUUGUGCUACCAUGAAGAAAAGGGCAUAAUCACCCACAACCCAAUCAUCUAGACUAUAGAGAAGAAGGAAAGUUGAACCUCUAGUGGAAAACCCAUCAAUUGCUUUAAAGAAGUUAGUUCUAGGUUUAGGGUUUCAAAGUAAUUAAGUUUAGGUUAGGUUGGGUUGGAAUCAAAUGAACCCAUGGUUUGAUUUAGCUUAUGUGGUAUAUUUCACUUUUGGCCAAAAUUAAUUUGAGUCAUUAGAUAGAAUUGUGGUAAAUGUCAAAGGUUUGGAUAUUUUGUCAAAAAUUACAAGUUACGAAUAUAAACGUGAAUUAAUGUAAAUGUUUGACAUUUUUCAUCUAAUUGGCCCUUAUUAUAUAAUUUAUUUUUGAUGAAUUUUGGUAUUUUUAUGUUUCACCUCACUCAGGCUUGCAUUUUGUAUUUUUAUGUCUCACCUCACUUAGGCUUGCAUCUUGCACCUUACACCUAAGUUCCAAGACCUUUGAUGCUUUAGUGCACAUUACACCUUAAUAACUAUGAUGACAUUAUUCUUAUCUUAGGAGAAUUAAAAGUUGUAAUCCUCAUGUUUAUUGAGAUUGAUCGUUGGGUAAGAUCUCUCAGGGCUAUUGACCCAAAAAGCCAAACCUUAUAACAUUUUGGCAAUUUUAUCCAAUCAUUAUAAUUUUGGCAGAGUCGGUCAAAAUUACAAAAUGCGAGAAAUUUUAUCAAGUUUUUUGAAAUUUUGAGAACUUGUAAUUUUAUCUUAUUUUUUUGACAUAUCCACUGUAUUUUGUGGCUGAUCCAACCUUAUCAAUACCGUCAACUACUUUCAAAUUUCAUUUUGAUAUUCAUGGUGUAUCAAAAUUGUUAGUCAUUGGAUCAAAUUAGAUGAUUUUAGUUGCACACCCUUUCUCUUUACCACCACCAAAUAUCAUUAUUAUUUGAUGCUCAAUGGUUAUCAAAAAUAAAAUUUUGGAAGACUUGAUGAAUGUGCUAAUAUUGGAUUUUCAGUGGUAGCUAUAAACAAAUUGAAAAAUGGAGUUCAAAAUUUUAUUGACGAAAAUUGAAUAAAUUUUUAAUAGCUUUUAAGAAUUUAGCUAUUUUUGCCAAGAUUUAAACAGUUGAAUUAGAUUGCCAAAAUGCAAAAAAAAAAACUUUUUCUUUUUCAAAAUUACGCCAGUAUCUCAAGUCUGAUUUCUUAUUUCUUAUUUUAAGUCGGAGAGUGAUGACGCAUGCAAGUAUCUUAAGGAGCACUGCCUUUAACCAUAUCAUUGGUAAUUUUUUUAAAAGAUCAUUUUCAUUGGAUGGCAUAUAAGGUGCGUUGGUGAGGCAAUGCAUUUAGUGGAAAAAUUUUUUCUAAAUAGUAACAUAUUUUCUUAAAAAUACUUAUAGCUGAUCCGUAAGAGUGUGCCCCCUAUAAUUUUUAAAAGUAUAUGUUUAUUAUCAUUGUAAAUUUAUUUUUUAACAUGAAGAAUUUAAAGAAAUGGAUUGUAAAGAUGUCAACCUAUAAUUUUUUUUGGUAUAUUUAGCCAUUUUGAUGGUUAAAAAGUUUCCUACUGUAUCAAAUUGGUGUUUUUGGGCAAUUUCUAUGAAAAAAGUAGCCAUGGGACAUGCAUUAAAAUAAUUAGGGAGAGGGAGUGGCAGUCUGGUGAAUGGUGUUGAAAUUGGUGGAAGGGCCUUCUAAAAAUAUCCAAUACGAGGAAGGAGUUUUAUGUAGAGAAAUACAGCGAAUGAGGUAAAGAUGAUGCUGAUGAGAGAUGAUACUGAACAUUUUCACUGAGUAACUAUUAGUCUGAAUGUUGAUAGUUUUGUUCAAAUUAUUGACUUAAUGCUCAAAUGUGCUAUUGCACUUUCACUUCUAGAUUUGUAAUAAAUCAUGAAAAAAAGAGAGGAUAUAAAUAGUACAUUUUUCCUAGCACAUGCAAAUGGUAAAAAAAAAAAAAAAAAAAAAA